CCUGCGGAAUAGCUCCGGGAAACUGGAAUUAAUACCGCAUACGCCCUACGGGGGAAAGAUUUAUCGGGGAAGGAUUGGCCCGCGUUGGAUUAGCUAGUUGGUGGGGUAAAGGCCUACCAAGGCGACGAUCCAUAGCUGGUCUGAGAGGAUGAUCAGCCACAUUGGGACUGAGACACGGCCCAAACUCCUACGGGAGGCAGCAGUGGGGAAUAUUGGACAAUGGGCGCAAGCCUGAUCCAGCCAUGCCGCGUGAGUGAUGAAGGCCUUAGGGUUGUAAAGCUCUUUCACCGGAGAAGAUAAUGACGGUAUCCGGAGAAGAAGCCCCGGCUAACUUCGUGCCAGCAGCCGCGGUAAUACGAAGGGGGCUAGCGUUGUUCGGAAUUACUGGGCGUAAAGCGCACGUAGGCGGAUAUUUAAGUCAGGGGUGAAAUCCCAGAGCUCAACUCUGGAACUGCCUUUGAUACUGGGUAUCUUGAGUAUGGAAGAGGUAAGUGGAAUUCCGAGUGUAGAGGUGAAAUUCGUAGAUAUUCGGAGGAACACCAGUGGCGAAGGCGGCUUACUGGUCCAUUAC
rnacentral:rRNA from 1 species